rnacentral:rRNA from 1 species
GAUGAACGCUGGCGGCGUGCCUAAUACAUGCAAGUCGAGCGAACAGACGAGGAGCUUGCUCCUCUGACGUUAGCGGCGGACGGGUGAGUAACACGUGGAUAACCUACCUAUAAGACUGGGAUAACUUCGGGAAACCGGAGCUAAUACCGGAUAAUAUAUUGAACCGCAUGGUUCAAUAGUGAAAGACGGUUUUGCUGUCACUUAUAGAUGGAUCCGCGCCGCAUUAGCUAGUUGGUAAGGUAACGGCUUACCAAGGCAACGAUGCGUAGCCGACCUGAGAGGGUGAUCGGCCACACUGGAACUUAGACACGGUCCAGACUCCUACGGGAGACAGCAGUAGGGAAUCUUCCGCAAUGGGCGAAAGCCUGACGGAGCAACGCCGCGCGAGUGAUGAAGGUCUUCGGAUCGUAAAACUCUGUUAUUAGGGAAGAACAAAUGUGUAAGUAACUAUGCACGUCUUGACGGUACCUAAUCAGAAAGCCACGGCUAACUACGUG